CCCCCUGCUCCGCCUUCUAAAUACACACACACACAUUCACUGACAGAUACGCAUUCACUAGCUAACAGAAACACACACUCACUAACAGACACACACUCACUCACUAACAGACACACACACUCACAGGCAAACACACACACUCACUAACAGGCAAACGCACACACUCACUAACAGACACACGCACACUCACUAACAGACACACACACACUAACAGACACACACUAACAGGCAAACACACAGACACUAACAGGCAAACACAC